rnacentral:tRNA from 1 species
GGCUCGUUGGUCUAGGGGUAUGAUUCUGAUGCUUUUGGUGCGAGAGGUCCCGGGUUCAAAUCCGGACGAGCCA